rnacentral:rRNA from 1 species
UACGAAGGGGGCUAGCGUUGCUCGGAAUCACUGGGCGUAAAGGGUGCGUAGGCGGGUCUUUAAGUCAUGGGGGAAAUCCUGGAGCUCAACUCCAGAACUGCCUUUGAUACUGAAGAUCUUGAGUCCGGGAGAGGUGAGUGGAACUGCGAGUGUAGAGGUGAAAUUCGUAGAUAUUAGGAAGAACACCAGUGGCGAAGGCGGCUCACUGGCCCGGUACUGACGCUCAUGUGCGAAAGCGUGGGGAGCAAACAGG